AUUAGUAUUAACAUUUGCAUUGGCAAAUCAUAUUCCUGAUUUCUCUUUUCUUUGUUGAUCUAUUAGUUACCUGAAUGUUGUUAUUUGCCUUUGAUGAAAUGCUCCACCCAGUUUCCUUCGUUAUCAUCAUCACCAGCACCACAACAUGUUUAUCACGGAUCUCAGGUAUCGACAGCCAGUAAAACACAUAUCACAGAGAGAACCUGCAACAGCCCCCGAGUGUCCACCUCCUCCCCACCAAGACGCCACCAGUCCAGAGUGUCAGACGCUUUAAUUGGAUUAUUGCUGUCUCAACCUGGCUCCCAAAGAGCUCCAAAGCCCCAGACGAAGGCCACUGGGAGAAGCCAAGUUGCUUAA
rnacentral:lncRNA from 1 species